AUGCACGCUGGCGGCGUGCCUAAUCCAUGCAAGUAGCACGCUGAAGGAGGAGCUUGCUCUUCUGGAUGAGUUGCGAACGGGUGAGUAACGCGUAGGUAACCUGCCUGGUAGCGGGGGAUAACUAUUGGAAACGAUAGCUAAUACCGCAUGACAACAGUUAUUGCAUGAUAACUGUUUAAAAGGGGCAACUGCUCCACUACCAGAUGGACCUGCGUUGUAUUAGCUAGUUGGUGAGGUAACGGCUCACCAAGGCGACGAUACAUAGCCGACCUGAGAGGGUGAUCGGCCACACUGGGACUGAGACACGGCCCAGACUCCUACGGGAGGCAGCAGUAGGGAAUCUUCGGCAAUGGACGGAAGUCUGACCGAGCAACGCCGCGUGAGUGAAGAAGGUUUUCGGAUCGUAAAGCUCUGUUGUAAGAGAAGAACGAGUGUGAGAGUGGAAAGUUCACACUGUGACGGUAUCUUACCAGAAAGGGACGGCUAACUACGUG
rnacentral:rRNA from 1 species